GUCUUUUUGAAAUUAAUUUAAAGUCUAACCUGCCCAAUGAUAAAUUUAAUGGCCGCAGUAUAUUGACUGUGCAAAGGUAGCAUAAUCAUUAGUUUUUUAAUUAAAAGCUGGAAUGAAUGGUUGGAUAAGAAAAAUACUGUCUCAAUUUAAUAAAAUUAAAAUUUUAUUUUUAAGUUAAAAAGCUUAAAUAUUAUUAAAAGACGAGAAGACCCUAUAGAGUUUGAUAUAAAAAAGAUUUAUAUUAUAUUAGAAUUUUAAUUUUGUAUUUUUAUUUUAUAUUUGGUUGGGGUGAUUAUAAAAUUUAAUAAACUUUUAUUUUAUAAAUACAUAAAUAAGUGAAUUUUUGAUCCUUUAUUAAGAUUACAAGAAAAAAUUACCUUAGGGAUAACAGCGUAAUAUUUUUUUAGAGUUCAAAUCGAAAAAAGAGAUUGCGACCUCGAUGUUGGAUUAAAAUUAAUAGUUGGUGUAGAAGCUAAUAUAUUAGGUCUGUUCGACCUUUAAAAUUUUACA
rnacentral:rRNA from 1 species